rnacentral:rRNA from 1 species
AGUCCCGGGAAAUAGCCCCACCGUAUAGACCGUACCCGAAACCGACACAGGUGGUCAGGUAGAGUAUACCAAGGCGUUUGAGAGAAGUAUCCUGAAGGAACUCGGCAAAUUGCCUCCGUACCUUCGGAAGAAGGAGGCCCCGGCUAUGCGCAAGCACUGUCGGGGGGCACAGGCCAGGGGGUAGCGACUGUUUAGCAAAAACACAGGGCUCUGCUAAGUCGGCUUCAAGACGACGUAUAGGGUCUGACGCCUGCCCGGUGCCUGAAGGUUAAGUGGAGGGGUGCAAGCUCUGAAAUGAAG